rnacentral:misc_RNA from 1 species
AAGUCGUAACAAGGUAUCCGUAGGUGAACCUGCGGAUGGAUCAUUAACACUACUUUCCAAAAACGACUACGUUGAAAAACACUUGUGUUUUUUAGCGUGGUUAUUUCAAACCCAAACAUUGCGAACUCGUCAACGGGGAAGGAAGGCUAAAAAAGAGAAUGGGGGUGGGAAAAUGGAUUCGUCUGUUUUUUCUCCCUCUUGGCUCUUUCUUUCUUCACCGUUCGUUUUUUUCUCUAUAUCAAUUGUAUUCAAUUUUCACCACUUCCGUAACAGGAGGAAAUGCUUCAAAUAACUUGGACUAAGAGAAAACUUUUUUUGUCUUUCGUUCGUUUUUCGAAUCGAAAGAGAAGAAAAUAUAAAAUGUAAUAAAAAAUACAACUCUUAACAACGGAUAUCUUGGCUCUC